UGAGGAAUAUUGGGCAAUGCCCGCAAGGGUGACCCAGCAACGCCGCGUGGAGGAUGAAUGUCGUAAGAUUGUAAACUCCUGUUAGAGGGGAAGAAUAGUACCGGUUGGACCGGUAUAUGACUGUACCCUCAGAGAAAGCCCCGGCUAACUACGUGCCAGCAGCCGCGGUAAUACGUAGGGGGCAAGCGUUGUCCGGAUUUACUGGGUGUAAAGGGCGCGCAGGCGGGAUAAAAAGUCAGUGGUGAAAUCCUACAGCUUAACUGUAGAACUGCCUUUGAUACUUUUAUUCUUGAGUUCGGGAGAGAGAGACGGAAUUCCAGGUGUAGUGGUGAAAUACGUAGAUAUCUGGAAGAACACCAGUUGCGAAGGCGGUCUCUUGGUCCGACACUGACGCUGAGGCGCGAAAGCGUGGGGAGCAAACAG
rnacentral:rRNA from 1 species